UCGCCCAUGUGUGUGCAUGUGAGUAUAGUUGUGUGUGCAUGUCUGUAUUUGAAUAUACAUAACAUACACACACUAAUGCAAGUACACACACACACACACACACACACACACACACACACACUCACACC
ensembl:miRNA